GGUAUUAUAGAGGGCACGGAUUGCAUGGAGCACGGGGUGUGAUCCACAAACAGUGAAUCAUGGACCACUACACAAAAACUAAUGAUGUACUAUAUGGUGACUAAUGUAACAUAAAAAAA